rnacentral:rRNA from 1 species
CCGCACGCGCGCUACAAUGGAAAUUGCAGUGCGUAUAUACUAUAUCGAAAGAUAUGGUUAAACGUGUCAAAUUAUUCCGCAUUCGGGAUCGGAGACUGUAAUUGUUUCCGUGAACGAGGAACUUCAAGUAAGUGUGUGUCAUUAGCGCACGCUGAUUACGU